rnacentral:tRNA from 1 species
CCGCGGCGAGGCUCUCGCGAUGCCGGUCGGCGCUCGGGCCGCCGUUGACGGGCACGGUGUCGUCCAGCUGGUUCGGCGGCGGCGCCGGGGAC